rnacentral:sRNA from 1 species
CAAAGAGAAAAGAAAGAGAGAGGUGCUCUGGCUCCGGGGCUCUUCUCCCAAACGGGUCGAGGUCCCAGCUGAGGCUCUCCCAGGACAAGCGGGGGCGCCCCGCCCCCCGGGCGCCCGACGUGGACGCGGCCGCCGCCACCGCCGCCGCGCGGGAGUCGCUGUCCGCGGAGCCGACAUGCAGGCGGCUCGGGG